rnacentral:rRNA from 1 species
GACGAAGGGGGCUAGCGUUGUUCGGAAUUAUUGGGCGUAAAGCGGGUGUAGGUGGCUCUAUAAGUCAGGAGUGAAAUCCCCGAGCUUAACUUGGGAAGUGCUUUUGAUACUGCAGAGCUUGAAUGUGGGAGAGGAUCGUGGAAUUCCAGGUGUAGUGGUGAAAUACGUAGAUAUUGGGAGGAACACCAGUGGCGAAGGCGGCCACCUGGACCGGUUCUGACGCUGAUGCGCGAAAGCGUGGGUAGCAAACAGG